UGCAAAGUUGCAAAACUUUUUGCUGGAUAAUCUCCCUGAACUUGAGGCUGAAAAGAAGCCAGAAUUCAAGCUUGGAGUAAAGGAUAUCAAACUUGGUGCGCGCAUCUUUCGGAAAACGAACAUCCCUUGCAUUUGCGAUAAGUAUGUACUCGAGCUCAUUCGUGGUGUGCAUAAGCAUUUUGAUCUCUUGACUCGGUUCCCUGAGCCAUGUAACUUGGAUGGAGACCGUAGGGAACCUACAAAAAGAAUUAAAAAGUCCGUUCCACUGUUGAAAUACAAGCUCUUUGGAUGCACGGUUGAAGAUCUGAAGAAGGGAAGAACAAGAUACCGUGCAGCUACUUUGAUGGACACGGUUAGUGUCCACUACACUGUGACGCGGUCGAAGGAUAGCAAGUUGCUCCUUGAUACUAAUACUCUUGGAGACCCGGUUCAAUUUCGCG